rnacentral:SRP_RNA from 2 species
CCGUGCUAGCCGGGGCAGUAGCGGCGCCUUGUACCCACAAUCCGCUAGAGUGGGGGUGACGCCUGACUUUGAGGCUUUGCUCUUCUUGGGUCUGCCCUUUGGGCGGAGUGUUGACGGCUGAGUCUUGUGCAACAGGAACUUAUGAACCGUGUCAGGUCCGGAAGGAAGCAGCACUAAGUAACCACUUCUGUGUGCCGCAAGGGCGCUUAGCCUGAGCUUCAAACAUUGGUUCGCGCCUUGGGGAAAAAGUCGAAAGCAGGCGCACGG